UACGGACGGGGCUAGCGUUGUUCGGAAUUACUGGGCGUAAAGCGCACGUAGGCGGCUUUGUAAGUUAGAGGUGAAAGCCCGGGGCUCAACUCCGGAAUUGCCUUUAAGACUGCAUCGCUAGAAUUGUGGAGAGGUAAGUGGAAUUCCGAGUGUAGAGGUGAAAUUCGUAGAUAUUCGGAAGAACACCAGUGGCGAAGGCGACUUACUGGACACAUAUUGACGCUGAGGUGCGAAAGCGUGGGGAGCAAACAGG
rnacentral:rRNA from 1 species